AGGCGAGGGAGACGCCAGCCAGCUGCCCAAGGAGCAACAGCCUCUGUACUUCACAAGAACAGACACUGACUGUUCCCAGUCUCUACCACCAACCACAAUGCCAGGUAUCCAGCGCGUUCUGAGUAAGCACUGAUUGGAUGAGCCAAUGAAUAAUGACCACUGGAGCUUGGAGGCUAGAAAGAUCUGAUGGCGGAAACAAAGUCAGGACACUGUGGUUUUUGUGCUACCUCCUGAGCCAGCCAUCCACAGGUGUCCAGAACUGAUGAGCGGCAUGAAAGUGUGAGAACACUCGGUUUCAAACUUAAAAUUGAGUUUAGAGUGGCGUGCCCUUUUGGGAUCACACAUUUGCUUCUCUGGCCGUUCCACACAAGCUACACGAAGCAGCCUCUGGGCAUCGGCACUCAGGUUCCUGCUGGAAUUCCUGUCCUGACUUCCCUCAGUGAUGGAGGCUGAAAUACACCCCCGCCCACCCCCCACCCCCCACUGCUGCUGCCGCCAUAUUGCUUUAGUAGCGAUGCCUGUCAUAGCAAUAAAAAGGACACUAGAACAA